rnacentral:tRNA from 1 species
GCGGGAGUAGUUCAGCGGUAGAACACCACCUUGCCAAGGUGGGGGUCGCGGGUUCGAAUCCCGUCUUCCGCU